rnacentral:rRNA from 1 species
UACAGAGGGUGCAAGCGUUAAUCGGAAUUACUGGGCGUAAAGCGUGCGUAGUCGGUUAUUUAAGUCGGAUGUGAAAUCCCCGGGCUCAACCUGGGAACUGCAUUUGUGACUGCACGGCUGGAGUGCGGCAGAGGGGGAUGGAAUUCCGCGUGUAGCAGUGAAAUGCGUAGAUAUGCGGAGGAACACCGAUGGCGAAGGCAAUCCCCUGGGCCUGCACUGACGCUCAUGCACGAAAGCGUGGGGAGCAAACAGG